AGUAACGUAUGGGGAGCUGCCCGAUAGAGGGGGAGUAAUACUGGAAACGGUGGCUAAUACCGCAUAAUGUCUACGGACCAAAGCAGGGGCUCUUCGGACCUUGCACUAUCGGAUGAACCCAUAUGGGAUUAGCUAGUAGGUGGGGUAAAGGCUCACCUAGGCGACGAUCUCUAGCUGGUCUGAGAGGAUGAUCAGCCACACUGGGACUGAGACACGGCCCAG
rnacentral:rRNA from 1 species